UACGAAGGGGGCUAGCGUUGCUCGGAAUUACUGGGCGUAAAGCGCGCGUAGGCGGCCCGGUAAGUCCGCUGUGAAAGUCGGGGGCUCAACCCUCGGAUGCCGGUGGAUACUGUCGGGCUAGAGUGCGGGAGAGGCGAGUGGAAUUCCUGGUGUAGCGGUGAAAUGCGCAGAUAUCAGGAGGAACACCAAUUGCGAAGGCAGCUCGCUGGAACGUUACUGACGCUGAGGCGCGAAAGCGUGGGGAGCAAACAGG
rnacentral:rRNA from 1 species